GAAUAUUUAACUGUGUAAAUUAUUUACUACAAUUCAUUGCCACGAAUCGCAGUGUUUUCACAUCUCGUAUCUAAUCGAAUAAGCCUUUGCAGCAAGCAUGCGAUCUGUAAUGAUUUUUGCUUUAUUAUUCUUACUGGUCGUCAAUAUUACUGGUGAAAAACAGCAAUUGCCAGAUUUAGAAGGUGAAGCUGUCGGACAAGACGUAAAUGAUGUUCGAGCAGAUUUGCUGAAUGACGUGACACGGGCAGAAAAUGUUGAGGACCUGAGUCAACCCAUGGGCUGGUAAAAAGGAAAUAAACAACGAAUGGGCCAGUCUAUCUCCUGUUAGAAGAUAUCACCAGUGAACUAGUCAAAGAUAAUAUCAUAGUGUGUUAUGUGUUUCUAUUUAGUAAUAAUUUAAUUAUGAGAUCAAUUGAAUAAACCCUAUGAACAUUGACAAACACAUGCUAAGUAAAAUAUCAUCAAAGGUAUAUUUUUGCUUGUAUUAGUAUUGUAACAUUAAAUUCGAGAACGACUUUUGUGGGAGGUUAUCUUCAAAUAAUAGACGUCUCUGGUGGCGUGCUUAUCUUAUAAGUUUUUUCCCUUAAGUACGUUCGCUGUCACGGGGUGGGGAUCGAUUGGUGAAAGUAUAUCACAACAACUGAGGCAAUGCAUUGACGGAAAUAUACGGGAUUGGUUAUCUAAAUUUUAGAAUUUGUUUUAUUUGGGAAGGUGCUUCUAUAAAAAUUAAAACAGAUAUAUAUAUAUA